GGGGACUACAAAGUCGGUCCAGACUGCGGGAGGGCUGAGCUCAGGCAGAGAGCAGAGGAAUUACCAGAGUGGAAAGCAGGGACGUAGGCAUAAGAGAAGGACCUGGGGCUCAGAGAAAUGAGCGUGACCCUGGGGACAAGCAUGUGAAAAGACCUGUGGACGGGGGAGGGCGGCACGGAGUAGCGUAAGGGACGCAAAUUACGUAACAGGAAGAAGGGCCGUGAUAUAGGCGGAGCGCAAGGGCGUACCUUGAACGUGGGGGCGCGACACGUUUGUGAGGGCGUGACAAAGACGGUCCCGCUCAAAGGAGGGGUGGGCCCAUACGUAGGACGGAGGCGGGGCCACGUUGGCGGGCAGGCGCCUGACCGCGGCUGCAGACCCAGAGCGAUGGCAGCGUAGGUGUAGCCAGGGCAGAGAACAGGUUAUUAGGUUCCUGCAUGUUAUUUCGGGCCUGAUCAACAUUUCAAGCUAAACAUGGUGGUGAUGAGUAUCCUCAGGGCCAUUCUGCAAGCCUCUCCAUGCAGGUCACCGUGGAGAAGAUUCCAGAUCCCCAGCUCCGUGCCGGCGAGGCCCUGCAGCCUCUACACCUGCACAUACAAAACCCGGAACCGAGCCUUGCACCCGCUCUGGGAGAGCGUGGACCUGGUCCCGGCGGGCGAGCGCCAGUCGCCCAUCAACAUCCGGUGGAGGGACAGUGUCUAUGAUCCUGGCUUAAAACCGCUCACCAUCUCUUACGACCCGACCACCUGCCUCCACGUCUGGAAUAACGGGUACUCCUUCCUCGUGGAAUUUGAAGAUUCUACAGAUAAAUCAGCUGCACUCGGUGCAUCAGAAUGCAGUCACAUUUCAAAGCUUUGAGGAUGCAGCAACUGGAGGAAGGUGGUUUCACUACGAUAAGAAUAUUUUUAAAGAUGAAGUGAAGCUCGAUGAAGUUAAGUGCUCUCCUGCCACGUCAUGCAGUUAUCCGCUGGAGAAGUCAACGGCAAAGCUGUGGACCACACUCUGUGCGGUGCCUGUCAGCUCCUGUAGCUUCAGCAGCUACACAUCACAAAGAGCUGCAGAAAUUGGUGGAUACUUUGCCAUCAAUCAAGCAUAAGGACACCCUUGUGGAAUUUGGGUCAUUUGAUCCUUCCUGCCUGAUGCCCGCCUGCCCAGAUUACUGGACCUACUCGGGGUCCCUGACUACCCCGCCCCCUCCGAGUCUGUCACCUGGAUCAUUAAGAAGCAGCCCGUAGAGGUUGAUCACGAUCAGGUAUGUUCUUUCCACCUUUCUGUAUGAGGACAUGCUAGUCUGCCCCUUUAACACAAGGCUGGGCUCAAACUUUGGCAUCGGUUUUGAACAUCUUGUAAUGCUUCUACAUUUUUAUUAAAAUUUGCUAACAUCUUGUCUCAGUUUGGACAUGAAUUUGGAGAUACUUCAAAUUAACUGGAGAGAGGAGUUAAAAUGUAGAAGAGCAUAAGCUUUUUGCUUUCAUUUUGGACAAUAUCCUGUCUUUUAUCAUAUAUACGUUGUGUAGAAUCUCUGUAAAAAUUAAGACUUUUAAAUGAAAGGCAAAUACCAUAUGAUUUCACUCCUAUGUGGAAUUUACAAAACACAACAGAUGAACAUAGGGGAAAUAAGAUAAAAAGAGAGAGGGAGCAAACCAUAAGAGACUUCUAAAGACAGAGAACAAACUGAGGGUUGCUGGAGGGAUGGUGGGUGGAGGGAUGGGCCGAAUGGGUGAUUGGCAUUAAGGAGGGCACUCGUUGGGAUGAGUACUGGGUGUCAUACGUAAGUGCUGAGUCACUUGGUUCUACUCUUGAUACCAAUACUACACUGUAUGUUAACUAACUUGAAUUUAAAGAAAUAAAUUUUAAUAACUAAAUGAAUGGAAAAAUGAAGGCUGGAAAUGACUGUGUUCAAAACCCUUUGAUUUUCUUUUCUUUAUUAUUGUAGUGGACACACAAUGUUACAUUAGUUUCAGGUGUACAGCAUGGUGAUUUGACAACUCCAUAUGUUAGGCUGUGCUCAUCACAAGUGUAGUCACCAUCUGUCAUCAUACAACUCUAUUACACUACCAUUGACUGUUUUCCCUGUAUUUUUUUUUUUUUUUACCUUUCAAUCCCCAUGGCUUAACUAAUUUCCUUAAUUACUAAUUUUCCCCAUGACAUUACUAGAAUCCUAUACCUCCCUCUCCCUUUGACCCAUUUUUCCCAUUCCCCCCAAUACUCCCCUUCCCUCUGGCAACCUUCAUACAUAGUUUGUUCUCUGUAUUUAUGCAAAAACCCUUAAUUUUCUUAAGAGAAGCUUGCUGUGGAAUUUCAAGGUAAAGAUAGAACCCGACAAUGUCUAUACAGAAAUUUUACCCAGUCAAAAAUUUUGAGUUGGUAUUUGUUUUCGUUUAGAAUCUAAGUUUAAGUGGUGGGUACUACAUGAACACACAAAAUGUUGUUUAAUUCAUAAGUGAGUUAAACAGUAAUAAUAAUUGCUUUUAUUUGUUUGUUUUGGAAUUUAAUUAAUUAAAAACUUUUUACAAGGACAAAAGCUUCCAAGUUCUUUUUUGUGAAGCCAAGAUAACAGUGAAACCAAAACCCACCAAAGAUUGGAUACCUCCCAAAAAGUAAAUACUAGGCCAGUAUCUCUCAAGAAUAUUUAGAAAAAAAAAAAAAGCUUAAUUAUUAGAAACAGAAUCUACCAGUACAUCAGAAGAAAUAUACACUUUGUCCACAUAAGAUUUUUUUCUGAAAUGUCAGUAUUAGGAAUGAUAUAUUAUGAUUAAUAGACUUUAUCCUGUCAGCAAAGCUAAAGGGAAGACUCAUAUUUCAUUUUCAUAAAUUCCUAAAACUCAUUUGACAAAAUUGAUCAUGUAUUUUUUGUAAAAUUUUUUAUUGAAAUGAGAAUUCCCUAAGUUGAUAAAGUAGAUUAAUGUCGGCUCAGAAGUAAAUAGUAUGCCUAGUAUGGAAAGGAUAUCUACUAACUCCACUAUAAUUAGCAUAUGAAAUUUUAAAUUGGUUAAAUUCUGGUAGCAGCCAAUGUAGUUAGACCAAAAAAAGAUAAAGGAAAUGAGAAAAGCAAUUAGCAGAGUACCAUAUUAAUUUAUAGACCUCAAUUCCUUGGAUAUAUGUAAGUCACAGAAGAUAUAAUGGAAGAAAGAUCUGUACUUAAAUGGAAACUCAAAAACUAAAAUACCUUGGAAUGAACUUAAAAUGUUACCAAGAAAACUCAAGCAUUCCUAAAGGACACAAAAAACUCUUUCAAAUAAAAUUCAUACCAUGUUAUUGAAUAGAAAGAUACCAUAAAGACACCCUUGAUGUCAAUUCUUAAGUUGCAGUUUUCCAUGAAUAUUCUCCAUGCAUUUGAUGUCCCAAGAAAGAUAUCAAUAUUUACAUUGUGGGGUGCUGUCCUGUGUAUUUUAAGAUGUUUAGCAGUGUCCCUGGCCUCUACCCACAGGAUGCCAGUAGUUCCCCAAGGAGUGACAACCAAAAAUGUCUCCAUACAUUCUGUGUGUCUGUUGCAAACUCACCCCUGGUUGAGCACCACUCGUAUGUGCUAACCUCUAAUAACAACUAAUAAGUGAAAUCCUUUAUUGCUUAGUAUGUAAAAAAAGGCUUUUAAUUAAUCAGUGCAUUGGUUUACCAGUAAAGGCGUAGGAGUGAUUCAUUUAUUACUGCCUGUAGCUCACCCAGAGAACUGGUUUGUUGGAGGAUUCUUUAGCUACAAAACAGUCUUCGGGAACCUCCAGAAACUGAAUUUCCCCCUCAGAGGCCCCGACCCCGCUGCACUGCGAUCAUGGGCAGCUACCUGGGCACACCCAUGGCCACUCUGCCACGCCUGGCCCAGAAGCGAGGUUCCCCCUGGCCCAGGCCCACCCACUGCCGCCCAGGCCCAGAUGGGAGCCGUAGCCUCUCCUGAGUCCGCAGCCAGCCCACCCCCACCAUGCCACCCUGCUGGGACCAUGCCAGAGUCUGGAGGGUGAUGGUCCCCAAGGCCUGGAGAGCUUUCACUGCAAGCCACCCCUCCAGAUCUUCAUGGGGUUGGAUUUUUCCAGUGAUCACAAGAGUUUGAUGAAGUGGCUGUGAAGUGCCCAAUACCCUGCACACACCUGGAGCCUGGUGACAAUCGAACUCACUCCUGCAGAGCGCAGAGGGAAAUGCUACAGGUGCCUGCCUAUCCACGAGCCCCCGGGGCCCUAUGCCAAGGAGGCCUCGCUGAGGGCACCUAGCAGAUGCAAGAAAGGAAAACAGAAUCCUCGGACCUGUCUGCAUCAAACCUCCCAGGCCAAGAGAAAAAAGGCAGAGCCCGGGCCAGGCCAUCCUCCUGCAGGCCUGUAUGGAGAGACAGAAUGGUCCCUUCCUUUGUGCCCGGGCCUGGGCCUCCGAGGCGAGGCCUCUGCUCCUGGCGCAGCAGAGCCCCAGAGGACACCGACCCGGGCGUACCUGCCUCAAGGACACAGCGCCGUGGCCUGGGCUGCCGAGCAGAUCAGUACUCCCCAGGGCCUGGGCCUCCUGCGGCGUGAUGUCUCCCCCGUAUCCUGAGUCAGAGCCCUGCCACCUCCACCUCCUGAGACUCAAACCCACAGUUGUUUCACUCUGCCCUACCCCCACAUGGGCCCCUGACACCCCCAGUCAGCCCUCUCCCCUGCAGCUGGCGGCUCCACCAAGCCCCCAGACCCACUCCCUUGACCCUGCAGAGCCCACACUGAAGAAGCUCCCCAGCUACCCAAACCUCUGCCUUCCUUGUGCCCACCCAGUACUCCCACCUGUUCCCACACACAUCGGGAAGGCAUGCUUCUCCCCUGUUUCCCCACUUUGUGAAGUGAAAAUGGCGUUCUUGUUUUAGAUAAAAAUAAUAGACAACUUUAUGAUCACAGAGAAUGUCAUUGUCUUUCUUUCAGAUGUACAUAUGUUAGGAUUGCGUCUACACUGUGAAUUCACUUUGGCCUUGUACAUCUGGGACCAAAUACUUCUUUGUUCUUUGUUUCAUACACACAUUGUGAAAAUAAAAAACUGUCUCCAAUCCUUGCCAAAUAUU